rnacentral:rRNA from 1 species
UUAGUGGAAGCGUCUGGAAAGGCGCGCGAUACAGGGUGACAGCCCCGUACACAAAAGCGCAUGUGCUGUGAGCUCGAUGAGUAGGGCGGGACACGUGGUAUCCUGUCUGAAUAUGGGGGGACCAUCCUCCAAGGCUAAAUACUCCUGACUGACCGAUAGUGAACCAGUACCGUGAGGGAAAGGCGAAAAGAACCCCGGCGAGGGGAGUGAAAAAGAACCUGAAACCGUGUACGUACAAGCAGUGGGAGCCCCACCACCAAAGCAUUCUCUGGUGUUGAAGGCCCUGCAAAGCAGCAUCGCGGUGGCGGAGCGUCGUUUGCGACGCCCAACACACAAAACAAGCGGUGAGUGCUUUGGGGUGGGGUGACUGCGUACCUUUUGUAUAAUGGGUCAGCGACUUAUAUUCUGUAGCAAGGUUAACCGAAUAGGGGAGCCGGAGGGAAACCGAGUCUUAAUUGGGCGUUAAGUUGCAGGGUAUAGACCCGAAACCCGGUGAUCUAGCCAUGGGCAGGUUGAAGGUUGGGUAACACUAACUGGAGGACCGAACCGACUAAUGUUGAAAAAUUAGCGGAUGACCUGUGGCUGGGGGUGAAAG